rnacentral:rRNA from 1 species
GAUGAACGCUGGCGGCGUGCCUAAUACAUGCAAGUCGAGCGAACAGACGAGGAGCUUGCUCCUCUGACGUUAGCGGCGGACGGGUGAGUAACACGUGGACAACCUACCUAUAAGACUGGGAUAACUUCGGGAAACCGGAGCUAAUACCGGAUAAUAUAUUGAACCGCAUGGUUCAAUAGUGAAAGACGGUUUUGCUGUCACUUAUAGAUGGAUCCGCGCCGCAUUAGCUAGUUGGUAAGGUAACGGCUUACCAAGGCAACGAUUCGUAGCCGACCUGAGAGGGUGAUCGGCCACACUGGAACUGAGACACGGUCCAGACUCCUACGGGAGGCAGCAGUAGGGAAUCUUCCGCAAUUGGCGAAAGCCUGACGGAGCAACGCCGCGUGAGUGAUGAAGGUCUUCGGAUCGUAAAACUCUGUUAUUAGGGAAGAACAAAUGUGUAAGUAACUAUGCACGUCUUGACGGUACCUAAUCAGAAAGCCACGGCUAACUACGUG